rnacentral:rRNA from 1 species
GGAGGCAGCAGUGGGGAAUUUUGCGCAAUGGGGGAAACCCUGACGCAGCAACGCCGCGUGAGUGAUGAAGGCCUUCGGGUCGUAAAGCUCUGUCAGAGGGGAAGAAGUGUGGCGGUGGCUAAUAUCCAUUUCACUUGACGGUACCUUCAAAGGAAGCACCGGCUAACUCCGUGCCAGCAGCCGCGGUAAUACGGAGGGUGCGAGCGUUGUUCGGAAUUAUUGGGCGUAAAGCGCGUGUAGGCGGUUUUUUAAGUCUGAUGUGAAAGCCCUGGGCUCAACCCGGGAAGUGCAUUGGAAACUGGGAGACUUGAAUACGGGAGAGGGCAGUGGAAUUCCUGGUGUAGGAGUGAAAUCCGUAGAUAUCAGGAGGAACACCGGUGGCGAAGGCGGCUNCCUGGACCGAUAUUGACGCUGAGACGCGAAAGCGUGGGGAGCAAACAGGAUUAGAUACCCUGGUAGUCCACGCCGUAAACGAUGAGUACUAGGUGUUGCGGGUAUUGACCCCUGCAGUGCCGCAGCUAACGCAUAAGUAU